GCCUUGGAUGUGUGCUUUUUGGACACAGAAAUCUCAGCCUUUCCAGUGCUAGGGCUAGUAUUAUUACUCUGAAGCCUAUUCCCUUCUUUGAAGAAAAUCAAACCAACAAACCUCAAAUGUUUUGGCUUUUUUGGUCUGUUAAACAGUAAAAUUCUUCACUACAACUCCUUUUUCUCAGUUCUCCAUUAUCCAGUUCCUGCAGGAGUACAAGAGCACAGGAAACACUUUCUAAAAUUGAAAAAGAAACCCGAAACCAACCCUUUAGGAACUAUCCAGAUGUCAUGCUGCUGGCUCCUUUUAGAGCCAUGAUAUUCAAACUCCCUCCCAUACCCUCAAGAAACAGACACAGGAGAGAUGUCUCAAACUGGAGUGUAAGGAGGAACAGAGAAAUAGAAAUUGAUGUGGACUUACCGGGCCUGCUUGAAGCCAGCUUUUGUUGCAAUCAUGAGAAAUAUAUAUUGACAUAUAUGAAGAAGACUAGAAGGGAAAUCUGUGAGCAUACAUGUGCAUCUUCAUUUUGAAAUGCAACACACAAGAGAAGAGCUGCUGCACUGCCUCAGGGAAAAAAAAAAAGAGUUUAGCUGAGCAUUGCAUGGAUCCUCUUGCUUUUUCAGGAAUAAACCCUGAGUGGUUUGCA
rnacentral:lncRNA from 1 species